CUGUAGGUGAACCUGCAGAAGGAUCAUU
rnacentral:rRNA from 1 species